AGGAGAUCUCUGUCUUAGGCCAAGAAAGGGCCUCUUUUGCAGUGAGAGUGGAGGGAGGGCACCGGACUUAAGAUCAGUGCCAAUGGCAUUUAAACAGCAGCAGCAGCAAGCUGUAUGGUAUAGAGCAGCACAUUCAUCAGCCUCGGCAGAAACCGAGAGCAGUGACAGUCCACUCUGCUCAAGAAAUGAAAAUAAACAUUGGAA